UUUACCUUACUUUAGAUAUGAACACUGUCAUUGGGAUUUACCUCAUACCUGUUACUACUGCUCUGAAGGCUGGUUUUUCCUGCCAUUUGAAGAUGGAAAUAAGCAAUCUCCUUUUUCCAGCCUUGUCUGUUCAUGCCUUGGGCUCUUCAGUGGUACACUGGAAUCUUGUUUAACUCUUUGGUGGACAUCAGUUUCAAGUAAGCUCGAAGCUGUUGGAACCAAUCUGCUGCCUAAGAAUAACACCAUUACAAAGAAAGCAAAGUCAAGAGCUGGUAAUCUUGGUCCUGAUAAUAUUGUUUGAGGCCCUAGAUAUAGCUGGUCCUGAGGCUAGUGUAAUCUUACACAUUUCGGAAAAGUGAGCCAAUAAAUUGCUAAGUUUAUUAUAGAAUAUUAUCUUUAUGCUUCAAGUUCACCUUUAUCAUACUGUUUAAUUGUCUCUUAUUUGU